CUUUUACAUUUUCUCUGUCAUCCUCCUGUUCCACAGGUUUACUCUCUUUCCAGGCAUAAAUGUGGGAGAGACAAUAAUCAAGAUUGAAUGUCCCUUCAGCCCCCAAACACACCCUGUGGGAGCUUUAGUUCAGACUGUUCCAGAAAACUUUACAACUAGUGGACACACCAAGUGGCACCAGGGAGACGCAAUAUAUUCUGAAAGCCCUCAGUGGACACUCAGGCUGCUUCCACGUCUUGGCUAUUGUGAACAGGGCUGCGGUGAGCAUGGAAGUGCAGGAACCUCCAUAUUAUUUCCUGUAGCAGCUGCACCAGUUUAUCUUGAAAGAGGUUCAUGAUCGUGGACCCCCCAAGGCUUUAUCUUCGGCCUCUCAGGCUCUGCGCACCUGUUGAAGUGGAAGCUCUCCCUGAUGCUUGGUGGGUUUUCUAGGAGCUUGCUCACUUCCUGGGGGUCCCACCCUAACUUUGUUAUUGGUCUCUGUGGUUGUCUCACU